rnacentral:lncRNA from 1 species
UCUAAAUUUAGGCAGCAAAAAAAAGAGAGGUCUAAGAGUUCAGUGUUUUAUACGUUUCAUCUUUUGAAUCAGGUGAGGUUUCCAUGAUAUGAUUCAUUCAAGUUCAGUCUGUAUUUUGGAUGGAUACAGCUUUAAAAAAAAAAAAUUGUAUUUGUACUAUUACAUUUUAUAGAAAUGCACAAUUUCUUAAUCUCUUCAACACAGAAGUCUACGUACAGUAAUAAUGAGCCUUUCCUUCUUCCAUUGAGGGUAUUGCCAUGCAGUUGUAUUGUCUGUUUUAACAGCUUUUCAGACUAGUGUUGAUUAUGGGUGUGAUCAGUGAGAACAUUGCAAGACACAGAGUUGCAUCACACACGCAGUUUUCAUAGAACACAGCAUGUACACUAAUCAUUUGCAUUUGUUUUCUGUGAUUGUUUUUAAUGAAAAACAACAAGGAUGUGUCGGUACCAAGGACCCUAUCAGUGUGCUAGAUGUUUGUGUUUAAUUUGUGUGCUAGUGGACAAUGUUUGUUUGGGGUUAGUAAAAGGAGUUUGUUUGUUAUUUUUAUUUGUCCAUGCAUGUGUUGUCAAUGGUAUGUUAUGGUAAAGGCUAUUAUUAUACUGUGUUGACACGUGUUUACACACAGUAGUGCAGAGGAAACCCUUGUCUCUGCAAUUCAUGUGAGAUUUCUCUGAGUGGAGCUUCUUCUUCUUCUGGGCCCAAACUGACACUUCUCUGCCAUCAGAAAAGCAAAUACCAGACUCAGCCAACAGGAACUUACUUAGUCGUUUUUCUACCCACAAACACCACAGGCUACCUCCCGGCUGAACUCUGCACGACUUUCUGUGUGUUUCUAAUGGUUAGUUGACUCCACCACAGGCUUGAGUGGAUACCAAGGUUUCAGGUCACGGGGAUGGGUGGUAUUUCUGGCUGCCAUUGCUGUGGUCGUCACCACUGUUCUUUUAUACUCUAUCAUCCUUCAACUUUGCAAAUUCCGUGCAAACAGGUGAUUUGACUCCAUUUCCCCUUUCUGUCAGAAUACUUCAUGAGAGGGAAAGUGCAUUGUUUACUGAGGAUGAACAGGGUAUGAUUCAAAUCAUGCACAUUUCUAAUUUACAGGACCGCCCAAGCUGCACCAGAGGACGAGACACACACCCAAGCUGCACCAGAGGACGAGACACACACCCAAGCGGAGUUGGUGAGGAGAGUGAACAAGAAACAAGAAAGAGGUCACAGCUACCAGGAGAAAAUUAACCCUCUAUACGACACAACACACAUAGUCUGGAACACAAACCCUAAGCCCAACCAUAACCCUGACCUUCAAUGUUACCCUAUCUCUGAGGCAUAGACAGCAACACCGCAGCCGAGACACGCACUUGAACUGGCUCCAAAUAGCUUGACUUGGCUCUUUGGAGGUUUCUUUC